AGAGAGAGAGAGGGAGAGAGAGAGAGAGAGAGAGAGAAAAGAUGAACUGCAACGGCUGCUGCGACGUUAGAUUCGGCGCGAUUCCAUCGGCCAGGUCCGGAUCCGGACGUUGUCGAAUUAUCUUCCCCCGUCGGACAGACUCCCGCGGCAGCUGCAAUGAUCACAUGCCCCCUUCGAGAGGGGGAAGAGGCUUUACUCGCUGAGGUGGUAUGGCUCUUUGAGUUUCACGACUGUCCGACUGUCCGAAUACGGACUGCUUCGUCGCGGAAAAAAGCGCUCCUUCACGCGGAAAGCGUCGCACCGUCAUCGCGUUGAUGACUGAUUCUCUCCAGGCAGACCGAGCAACUUAAGCCCGAUGUACACGGUAUGCUGUCGACGAUUUUCGCGGAUAAAUCGAGCGGAUAAAUCAGAAAAGGAAGCUGUGAGGGAAGAACUGCUGAAUAAGGAUCGAAAGCUCAUGCACCGAUGUCGUAAUGCUCAGACAUGAGAGAUGAUUGCGGUCGACGGUGAAACGUCGUCGGAUAAGAAUUUUCGUGGUCGGGACGAUGAUGAUCGUCGUAAAAUACGCGAGAGAGAGAGAGAGAGAGAGAGAGA